rnacentral:rRNA from 1 species
GACGAACGCUGGCGGCGUGCCUAAUACAUGCAAGUUGAGCGCUGAAGGUUGGUACUUGUACCAACUGGAUGAGCAGCGAACGGGUGAGUAACGCGUGGGGAAUCUGCCUUUGAGCGGGGGACAACAUUUGGAAACGAAUGCUAAUACCGCAUAAAAACUUUAAACACAAGUUUUAAGUUUGAAAGAUGCAAUUGCAUCACUCAAAGAUGAUCCCGCGUUGUAUUAGCUAGUUGGUGAGGUAAAGGCUCACCAAGGCGAUGAUACAUAGCCGACCUAAGGAGGUGAUCGGCCACAUUGGGACUGGGACACGGCCCAAACUCCUACGGGAGGCAGCAGGAGGGAAGCUUCGGCAAUGGAAGAAAGUCUGACCGAGCAACGCCGCGUGAGUGAAGAAGGUUUUCGGAUCGUAAAACUCUGUUGGUAGAGAAGAACGUUGGUGAGAGUGGAAAGCUCAUCAAGUGACGGUAACUACCCAGAAAGGGACGGCUAACUACGUGCCAGCAGCCGCAGUAA